GCAGGAAGCGAUUCCGCGGGCUAGGGGGAAGAAAGGGUAGACGUGUGAUCAAGGCUGGGGAGUGGAACAUUCUUGAAGCUAGCGUGGCGAAGAGAAGUGUUGCUUAGAUUCAUGGCUUCGAAAACGAUGUUUGCCGCGGAGUGUUUGAAAUGUGUCCCAUUUCCGCCGGCUUUCUUUCUGAGCCCCUUAAGCUUUGCCCGGCUAAAGCAGUCUGUGCUUUGGACUGGCCAACACAGGGGGGUAGAGCAUUCCUCUCACUAAAACCCAGGGCAGGGUUUUUGCUCUCUGCUUUUGGAUCCUGUCGUGAGACACACGUCCUGUUACUGCUUGCAUGCUGGUGUCUAGGCCCAAGCCUCAGUACCUUACCAUGGUGCUGGCUGGGUUGCUCCCUGUAGCUUGGGGAGAACAUUUAUGCAGAAAAUUAUGCCUUUCACUCUGUGUGUGUGUGUGUGUGUGUGUGUGUUGGACUGGACUAGUUGUCUCCUCUCCACCCAUUUGAGUCUCAAAAAUCAGUUAUGUGGGUUUAAAUCCACAACUUGAUUCAGAAAAAUGCAUGGGGGUGUGUGUGAGAAUGAAGGGAGAAGAUAAUCUCUACCACGUGUGUAUGAUGUUGCUUCUGUGCUUAAUAGCUGCAUAGCAGGAGAAUGUGGCCACCAGGCCCAGAAGCAGUACCAUUCAUUAGGUGGUUCAGUUUUUAAGCUUAUCAGCUUAAAAGCAUAGCUGCCAACAAAAUGUUUGGCAGCUGAAUGAACCUGAAGUAGUUAGUGGCUCAUGUUUUUACUAGAAGCAUUUGUAAACCACGGAGCCAUUGCUGCAUAUGAAGAGACCCAACAAUGUUGUAUGAACAGAGCAUUAGAUGCCAACAAGUGAAGACUGAGUCACUGUUGCGUGGAAGUAAAAUGGUGUUAUAAACCAUAAAGAAGGCAGCCGAUGCAAGGCACAAACUGCAAAAAGCAAUGUAUAAAGAAGCAGUUAAGCGAAUUAACACUAUUUUGCAAUCUGAGGGAGAUAAAACCUUGAUUCGGCAGAGAUAUUGCUAUGCAGUUUACUGAUAAAGGAAAUUGCUAGCGACUAAUGAAAUUGUAGAGGAAAUAUUCAACCCAUCAGCAUAAAAACCUAGCAGAUAGUGCUGGAACAUGAAAAAGGGAGAAUGAAGUUCAGUUCUCUUGAGUAGGCUUCCAUCAGUCUUGUAAUUUCUGUUACCAAUAUAAAUGACCUAUCUCACAGGGUUGUUGUGAGGAUGAAUAAAAUGGCUGUGAAUUAAUGAAUAAAA